rnacentral:rRNA from 1 species
UGUGACCCGGGUGGACUUAAGCAUAUCAAUAAGCGGAGGAAAAGAAACCAACAGGGAUUGCCCUAGUAACGGCGAGUGAAGCGGCAAGAGCUCAAAUUUGAAAUCUGGCUCCUUUGGAGUCCGAGUUGUAAUUUGUAGAGGGUGCUUUGGUGUCGGCUAUGGCCUAAGUUCCUUGGAACAGGACGUCACAGAGGGUGAGAACCCCGUAUGUGGCUGCUAGCCUUCACCAUGUAAAGCCCCUUCGACGAGUCGAGUUGUUUGGGAAUGCAGCUCUAAAUGGGAGGUAAAUUUCUUCUAAAGCUAAAUAUUGGCCAGAGACCGAUAGCGCACAAGUAGAGUGAUCGAAAGAUGAAAAGCACUUUGGAAAGAGAGUCAAAAAGCACGUGAAAUUGUUGAAAGGGAAGCGCUUGCAGCCAGACUUGCUCGUAGUUGCUCAUCCGAGCUUUUGCUCGGUGCACUCUUCUGCGAGCAGGCCAGCAUCAGUCCGGGCGGUUGGAUAAAGGCUCUGGGAAUGUAGCUCUCUUCGGGGAGUGUUAUAGCCCAGGGUGUCAUGCAACCAGUCUGGACUGAGGUCCGCGCAUCUGCUAGGAUGCUGGCGUAAUGGCUGUAAGCGGCCCGUCUUGAAACACGGACCAAGGAGUCUAACAUCUAUGCGAGUGUUUGGGUGUCAAGCCCGGGCGCGCAAUGAAAGUGAACGGAGGUGGGAACCCUUCGGGGCGCACCAUCGACCGAUCCUGAUGUCUUCGGAUGGAUUUGAGUAAGAGCAUAGCUGUUGGGACCCGAAAGAUGGUGAACUAUGCCUGAAUAGGGUGAAGCCAGAGGAAACUCUGGUGGAGGCUCGCAGCGGUUCUGACGUGCAAAUCGAUCGUCAAAUUUGGGCAUAGGGGCGAAAGACUAAUCGAACUAGUAAUUGA